UUAAUUGAAGCCAAAAAGAGGCAUAUUACUGUUAAUGAUACUAUUGAAUUGUAUAAUUCCAAUUAAG
rnacentral:tRNA from 1 species